rnacentral:rRNA from 1 species
AACGCGAAGAACCUUACCUACCCUUGACAUGUACGGAAUCCUUGAGAGAUCAGGGAGUGCUCGAAAGAGAACCGUAACACAGGUGCUGCAUGGCUGUCGUCAGCUCGUGUCGUGAGAUGUUGGGUUAAGUCCCGCAACGAGCGCAACCCUUGUCCUUAGUUGCCAUCAUUAAGUUGGGAACUCUAAGGAGACCGCCGGUGACAAACCGGAGGAAGGUGGGGAUGACGUCAAGUCAUCAUGGCCUUUAUGACCAGGGCUACACACGUGCUACAAUGGCAGAUACAGAGGGAAGCCAACCGGCGACGGGGAGCUAAUCCCAGAAAAUCUGUCGUAGUCCGGAUUGGAGUCUGCAACUCGACUCCAUGAAGUCGGAAUCGUUAGUAAUCGCAGAUCAGCAUUGCUGCGGUGAAUACGUUCCCGGGUCUUGUACACACC